CUUGUUGGACUACCCAGCUUCUGACUCACGAGGUUUGGCAGACAGCCCCACAACUUGCAUUUCUCAAACAAGAUCCCAGGUCACACUAACACUGCAGCCCAAGACCACACUUGGCGGACCAGUGCGCUCAAUGAUGGAAGAGCCAAUGUAUGACUAACUUCUCACGAGUUUUUGCCUCCCCAGUGUUCUUGAAGCCAAUGCAUGCCGGUGUGGAUAGUAAGCAGAAGACUCGAGCAGGGUAGAAAUCCAGAUGAAUUAAGAUGCACGUAUUUUUUAACCUUUCCUCCAGCGAGGAGUACAUCAGUUCCUACAAGUUGAACUGCAACAUAAAGUAAAUAGAUCUGCUCUGAGAAAAGGUAGAAGAUGCUGCUGGCUUCAGUUUGCAGCAGGAAAUUGCUUGACUGGAGUACCUUCUGAUGGCAAGCUCAUUUCACAGACGUUUGUAGAGAAGGUCUCCAAGCAACAGAAUCUUAAAAAUGAAAUAUUCAUUUUCUGAAGCCUAAUUUAAUUCCAGCAUUGACUGGGUUGCAGAGCGUAUCAGAUCACAGGAUCUGAAAAAUUCUCUGGGUAACAAAGAAUCAAGCAUUUAGUUCUACAUAAUGAUUGCUGGUCCAUUAGACAAAGUUUGCUGAAUUUGAUUCUGCUUUUGGGGAACCAGACCCAUAACAGUUGGUAUGAGAAGUGGGUGGAGAAAGCAGAUGUGAACAUGGAGCCGAACUGCCAGCUGCCUGAAUGGCAAGAAAGACUCGUUGUUGGUGCUCGGGUCCUGGCUGACUGGCCCGUUAUCCUCUGGCUGGCGGAAGCGGACAGAUGGCCAGAGGCCUCCUCCGUCGGGGGACCCUGUGGGGCACAGCCACCCCCGCCCCCUCAUGAGGACAGAAAACGGCGCCCUCUCUGGGCUGACACGGUCGCACGCGUGGUGCGCAGACUCGAUAUCAGCCCCUGCGCUGCUCUGGGGGCCCUCGUGCGGGGGACAGCAUGGACGAUGGCCUUGAGGACAGCCUAGGCCUGGUGCACGCGCCUUGGGCAGAAGCCUCUCGCUGGGGACCCUGCUGGGACCAUCGUGCAGGAAGAUGCAGAUAAUGGCGAAGCCACAGGAGAUGGCUCAGAAACAAGAGAGACAGUCUCUGAAUCACAGGAUGGAAGAAAGCUGCCAACUGUCCCGCCGCGGAUUGUCGGGUAAGUGAGAAAGGAGAUCCUAUUUUUUUUUCUUUGUUCAGCCAUAUACGUUUUAGGGGCUGUUUGUUAUAGCUGUUUAAACUGUAAAGGUUGUGCCUAUAAAGAUAAAUCUGGCCUCAUCUAAUUCUCUCCUUGUUCUAAGAAGGAAGCAGAAAAUCAGGGAGGGAUGGUAACUUGCCCGCAUUUACACAGUUACGGUAGAAUGAAGAUUCACCCGAGGUCUCUUCGCCUGUAUCUGGCUGAUCCCCCAAGAGAUGGAACAGGUGAAUGAAACUUGGGUUCCAGAUGGCUGGUUCAUGGCCAGGAUCUAGGCCAAAGGUGUGUUUUCUGUUUUCUGUACAAGGUUUUAAAAUAACAUGAAUUAGGGGCACCUGGGUGGCUCAGUC